ACUCCUACGGGGCGCAGCAGUAGGGAAUCUUCGGCAAUGGGCGAAAGCCUGACCGAGCAACGCCGCGUGAAUGAAGAAGGCCUUCGGGUUGUAAAAUUCUGUUAUAAGGGAAGAAAGGUGAUAGGAGGAAAUGACUAUCAAUUGACGGUACCUUAUGAGAAAGCCACGGCUAACUACGUGCCAGCAGCCGCGGUAAUACGUAGGUGGCAAGCGUUAUCCGGAUUUAUUGGGUGUAAAGGGCGUGUAGGCGGGAAUGCAAGUCAGAUGUGAAAACUAUGGGCUCAACCCAUAGCCUGCAUUUGAAA
rnacentral:rRNA from 1 species